rfam:Oryza glaberrima chromosome 3 Oglab03_0112_2, whole genome shotgun sequence.
UUUAAGUGCAGUUUUAGGCUUCCAUGUCUAACAUUUGACUAUCCGUAUUAUUUGAAAUUUUUUAUGAUUAGUAUUUUUGUUAUUAUUAGAUGGCAGAUUAUGAAUAGUACUUUAUGUGUGACUCAUUUUUCUAGAUUUUUUCAUAAAUUUUUCAAAUAAAACGAAUGGUCAAACGUUUGAUAUGAAAACACAUGACUACACUUAAC